ensembl:lncRNA
UAGAGAGAGACCCAGGGGCUCGAGGACGUCCCCUGGAUGAACGUAUAGAGAGAGACCCAGGGGCUCGAGGACGUCCCCUGGAUGAACGUAUAGAGAGAGACCCAGGGGCCCGAGGACGUCCCCUGGAUGAACGUAUAGAGAGAGACCCAGGGGCUCGAGGACGUCCCCUGGAUGACCAUGGAGACGGAGAGACCCAGGGGCCCGAGGACGUCCCCUGGAUGACCUUGGAGACAGAGUUACCCAGGGGCCCGAGGACGUCCCCUAGAUGAACGCAUAGAGAGAGUCCCAGGGGCCAGAGGACGGUCCCUGGAUGAAAAUAUAGACAGAGACCAAGGGGCCCGAGGACGUUCCCUGGAUGAACGUAUAGAGAGAGACCCAGGGGCUUGAGGACGUCACCUAGAUUAACGUAUAGAGGGAGACCCAGGGGCCCGAGGAUGUCCCCUGGAUGAACGGGGAGAAGGGAAGACCCAGGGGCACAUGGAACAUCCCCUGGAUGAAUGUGGAGACGGAGAGACCCAGGGGCCCGAGGACGUCCCCUGGAUGAACGGGGAGACCCUUGGACGAACUUGUACAGGGAACCCCGGGGAGCCCGAGUGGCAUCCACUUGAUGAACGUCCACCUAUUGCCACGCCCUCAUUCCCCUCUACAGCCCCCUCUACAGCCUCCCUCUAAGGAUCACGCCCUCAGCCCCCUCUAGGUGUCACGCCCUCAGACCCCUCUACAGCCCCCCUCUAGGGGGCACACCCUCAGCCCCCUCUAAAGAGAGAGACCCAGGGGCCCGAGAACAUUCCCUGGAUGAACGUGGAGACGGAGACCAAGGGGCCCGAGGACGUCCCCUGGAUGAAUGUCGAGACGGAUAGACCCAGGGCCCCUAGGGCCAUCCCUUGGAUGAACUUGUAGAGAGAACCCCGGGGAGCCCGAGUGGCAUCCACUGGACGGACGUCCACCUUUUGCCACGCCCUCAUUCCCCUCUCCAGCCCCCUCUAGGGGCCCCCAGCCCAUCUAGGGACCAUGCCCUCAGCCCCCUCUACAGCUGUCUAUAAGGGCUACAGCCCCCUCUAUGGGCCCUGCGGCCCCACUCUACUGCCCCCUCUAGGGGCCACGCCUUGAGCCCCCCUCUACAGCCCCCUCUGUGGGACCUCAGCCCCCCUCCCUACAGCCCCCUCUAGGGGCCCUCAUCCCCCCUCCCUACAGCCCCCUCUAUGGGCCCUCAGCCCCCCUCCCUACAGCCCCCUUUAGGGGCCCUGGGGCUCAACUCUACAGCCCCCUCUAGGAGCCCUCAGCCCCCCCUACAGCCCCCUCUAGGGGCCCUCAGCCCUCUCUCUAGCCCUCAGCCCCCCUUCUACAGCCCCCUCUAGGGUCCCUUGGAUGAACUUGUACAGAAAACCCUGUGGGCCAGAGUGCCCGAACGUCACAUUUAUGCUGCGCCCUCAACCCCUCUACAGCCCCCUCUACAAACAGCCCCUCUAGAGGCCACGCCCUCAGCCCCCUCUAGAAGCCACGUCCUCAGCCCCCUCUACAAACAGCCCCUCUAGAGGCCACGCC